rnacentral:rRNA from 1 species
UACGUAGGGUGCAAGCGUUGUCCGGAAUUAUUGGGCGUAAAGAGCUCGUAGGCGGUUUGUUGCGUCGGCUGUGAAAUCCCGAGGCUCAACCUCGGGUCUGCAGUCGAUACGAGCAAACUAGAGUGUUGCAGGGGAGACUGGAAUUCCUGGUGUAGCGGUGAAAUGCGCAGAUAUCAGGAGGAACACCGAUGGCGAAGGCAGGCCUCUGGGCCACUACUGACGCUGAGAAGCGAAAGCAUGGGGAGCGAACAGG